rnacentral:rRNA from 1 species
UGGGGAAUUUUGGACAAUGGGCGAAAGCCUGAUCCAGCAAUGCCGCGUGUGUGAAGAAGGCCUUCGGGUUGUAAAGCACUUUUGUCCGGAAAGAAAUCCUUGGCUCUAAUACAGUCGGGGGAUGACGGUACCGGAAGAAUAAGCACCGGCUAACUACGUGCCAGCAGCCGCGGUAAUACGUAGGGUGCAAGCGUUAAUCGGAAUUACUGGGCGUAAAGCGUGCGCAGGCGGUUUGCUAAGACCGAUGUGAAAUCCCCGGGCUCAACCUGGGAACUGCAUUGGUGACUGGCAGGCUAGAGUAUGGCAGAGGGGGGUAGAAUUCCACGUGUAGCAGUGAAAUGCGUAGAGAUGUGGAGGAAUACCGAUGGCGAAGGCAGCCCCCUGGGCCAAUACUGACGCUCAUGCACGAAAAGCGUGGGGAGCAAAACAGGAUUAGAUACCCCUGGUAGUCCACGCCCUAAAACGAUGUCAACUAGCUGUUGGGGGUCUUCGGACCUUGGUANCGCAGCUAACGCGUGAAGUUGACCGCC